UGCGUAGGUGACAAGCGUUGUCCGGAUUUACUGGGCGUAAAGAGCGCGCAGGCGGUCGUUCAAGUCGAGUGUGAAAGCCCCCGGCUCAACUGGGGAGGGUCACUCGAUACUGAUCGACUCGAAGGCAGGAGAGGGAAGUGGAAUUCCCGGUGUAGUGGUGAAAUGCGUAGAUAUCGGGAGGAACACCAGUGGCGAAGGCGACUUCCUGGCCUGUUCUUGACGCUGAGGCGCGAAAGCUAGGGGAGCAAACGGG
rnacentral:rRNA from 1 species